AGUGAACGCUGGCGGUAGGCCUAACACAUGCAAGUCGAACGGCAGCACAGUAAGAGCUUGCUCUUACGGGUGGCGAGUGGCGGACGGGUGAGGAAUACAUCGGAAUCUACUUUUUCGUGGGUGAUAACGUAGGGAAACUUACGCUAAUACCGCAUACGACCUACGGGUGAAAGCAGGGGCUCUUCGGACCUUGCGCGAUUGAAUGAGCCGAUGUCGGAUUAGCUAGUUGGCGGGGUAAAGGCCCACCAAGGCGACGAUCCGUAGCUGGUCUGAGAGGAUGAUCAGCCACACUGGAACUGAGACACGGUCCAGACUCCUACGGGAGGCAGCAGUGGGGAAUAUUGGACAAUGGGCGCAAGCCUGAUCCAGCCAUACCGCGUGGGUGAAGAAGGCCUUCGGGUUGUAAAGCCCUUUUGUUGGGAAAGAAAAGCAGCAGGUUAAUACCCCGCUGUUCUGACGGUACCCAAAGAAUAAGCACCGGCUAACUUCGUG
rnacentral:rRNA from 1 species